UUGAACGCUGGCGGCAGGCCUAACACAUGCAAGUCGAACGGUAACAGGAAGAAGCUUGCUUCUUUGCUGACGAGUGGCGGCCGGGUGAGUAAUGUCUGGGAAACUGCCUGAUGGAGGGGGAUAACUACUGGAAACGGUAGCUAAUACCGCAUAACGUCGCAAGACCAAAGAGGGGGUCCUUCGGGCCUCUUGCCAUCGUUUGUGCCCAGAUGGUAUUAGCUUGUAGGUGGGGUAACGGCUCACCUAGUCGACGAUCCCUAGAUGGUAUGAGAGGAUGACCAGCCACACUGGAACUGAGACACGGACCAGACUACUACGGGAGGCAGCAGAGGGGAAUAUUGCAGAAUGGGCGAAAGCAUGAUGAAGCCAUACCGCGUGUAUGAAGAAGGACUACGGGUUGUAAAGUACUUUCAGCGGGGAGGAAGGGAGUAAAGUUAAUAACUUUGCUCAUUGACGUUACCCGCAGAAGAAGCACCGGCUAACUCCGUG
rnacentral:rRNA from 1 species